rnacentral:rRNA from 1 species
UACGAAGGGGGCUAGCGUUGCUCGGAAUCACUGGGCGUAAAGCGCACGUAGGCGGCUUUCUAAGUCAGGGGUGAAAUCCUGGAGCUCAACUCCAGAACUGCCUUUGAUACUGGAGAGCUUGAGUCCGGGAGAGGUGAGUGGAACUCCGAGUGUAGAGGUGAAAUUCGUAGAUAUUCGGAAGAACACCAGUGGCGAAGGCGACUCACUGGACAUGUAUUGACGCUGAGGUGCGAAAGCGUGGGGAGCAAACAGG